GGAGAGGUACCCAAGUGGUUGACGGGAAUCGCCUUGAAAGCGAUCAGGCCCUGAUGAGGGGCCUCGUGGGUUCGAAUCCCACCCUCUCCG
rnacentral:tRNA from 1 species